CAGCAGCCGCGGUAAUGCGUAGGGUGCGAGCGUUAAUCGGAAUUACUGGGCGUAAAGCGUGCGCAGGCGGUUUUGUAAGACAGGCGUGAAAUCCCCGGGCUCAACCUGGGAAUGGCGCUUGUGACUGCAAAGCUAGAGUGCGGCAGAGGGGGGUGGAAUUCCGCGUGUAGCAGCGAAAUGCGUAGAUAUGCGGAGGAACACCGAUGGCGAAGGCAAUCCCCUGGGCCUGCACUGACGCUCAUGCACGAAAGCGUGGGGAGCAAACAGGAUUAGAUACCCCCGUAGUCCCUGUCUCUUAUAC
rnacentral:rRNA from 1 species